rnacentral:lncRNA from 1 species
GAUGAGAUGUGGAUGUGACAGAUGAAGGUGAGCCAGUGGCCUCACCCCUACAGGGUCCUGAGGCAGGGCAUGUUGAGACUGUCAGCUUUUUUUUGUGAGCACAGAAGCUAACCAGCUUGAAAAUCCAAUGAAAGUAUUAAGACCUGGACACCUGUCACAUUAUGAGAACACAAUUGCAACAAAUUCUUUUGGAUUUGAUCCAUGUAAUGAGGGCAGAAGAGUAAGGGAAGGUACAAUCUGUCAAGUGCAGGGGAAGCUUCCUGGAAGUGAAAAGCUUUCUAUUGCAUUGACAGCUGUUCUACUUUAAAACAAGCUUGUUCUACUUUUCCUAGAGCUCUGUGCCCCAGCUUAUGUUAGGUGCUGGAACACGUCUGGCAGCCACCAAUGUGAUGGUUAUGGUGUGGCUAAAAAGUCUGCUGGAAGAGGAAAGUAAGUCCAGGAUGGUCUUCCCAGCCUCUGAAAUGAUUACUAGGUGAUUCUGUAACUGGUGAACACUGUGAAUACUAAAUGAGUGUGGAUCUGCCACUUCCCUCAUUGCUCUUUUUGUCCCAGUAAACUCAAGAAAGUACCUCCAUAUGUUUGUUCUUAGAGGCAGACCAGAGCCAAUCCUGAGAAAUCCUGGCUGUAAGGAUUGCGGAUUACACUUUGAAUUCUGCCAUUGCUAAAUAAGGAGAGAGGAAGGAGAGACAAGUACAGCACAGAGCUCUCUCAGGGGACCUUUUACCAGCUGAUAAAGGAUGAGCUAUCUGAUGACUAGUUAGUUUAUAGACUGCCUGAGGGAAUGGCAUGAAGCUGCGUCAGUGGAAGUUAAGGUUGGGUGUUAGGAAAAGGUUCUUCACUACAGACAGAACUACAACAGGCUCCCCAGUCUGCCUUCUACAGACUCUUAUCUCCUGGUCCUGCAUUUCCAAAUGUGUCUCCCAUGGGACUCUCAUACAGAGAGGCGAGAAGAGAACAGAUCCAAGGAUAAGCAGUGUUGAAAGGUAUUGGACGGCUUCUCUCAAGUCUCCUUGGAACCUUCUCCUCUCAAGGCUGAACAACCCCAACUCUUUCAGAUUAUCUUCACAGGAGAGAUGCUGCAGCUUUCUGAGCAUCUUCAUGGCACCUCUCUGGACUCACUCUAACAGGUUCACAUCAUUUUGCACCUCCAUUGCUGAAUGCAGUACUGCAGGUGGGACCUCAUAUGGGCAGAGCAGGGGAGAAUCAUCAUCUCCUUCGCCCUGCUAGAUACACUUAUUUUGAUGCAGACCAGUAUUUGGUUGGCUUGGCUUUGAAUCCUUUGUAAUUUUUUACCCCUCUGAAAUUGUCUAAGUCUACAUCUCUGUUCUUAAUCCAAAUAUACUUCAACUCCCAUCUUGCUACUACUAUGACACAAAAAAGUAACAUAUAAAAGUUGCACCCAUUAGGGGCUUGAGGUCUUUUUCAGGUUGGUAUUAUGCUGCUCUUUAGGUUCCUAAAACCCCGCUUUUCUGAUAGAGUUUUCUUUGUAAUUAUUUAAGAGCACCUUAAUGUCAUGAGGCUUUUCCUUGAUGCUGAAGUCUGCAGCUAAAAUGUCAUAGCUCUAUAUUUUUCACCUUUUUUUCUCAAUUCCAUUAUAAUUUCACAAUUUCAUGAUUUACAUUAUACUCAGUAAGAUGUCUUUGCCUUGGUUUCAUUCAGUUUUCUUAAGACAGGAAUCUGCUAUCUGUCAAUGUGCUUUUUUUUUUUUUUUUUUUUUUUUUUUUUCUCCUUUCUGUUUUAUUUUCAUUUGCCAAAAUGCCCCAAAAGAAUCAUUUUGUCAUUUGACACCCUGCUUAGAGGCAAGACAGAAAAGAAAGCACUUCAAGGCCACAUGAUCACAUGAUUGUGUGCCCCAGUGGCGCAGUGGUAGGAAUGCCGCCUUGCAACACUGGGGCCUGGGGUUCGAAUUCCCCCCGUGGCGCAAGUGGUAGAAGUGCCGCUCUGCAGCACAGAGGCUCGAAUCCCGGGGGUUGGACUCGAUGAUCUCUAAGGUCCCUUCCAACCCGCACGAGACUAUGAAAUUAUGAUCACUUUAUCCUCCUAAGUCAGGCUGGACAACAGGCAGAGCUUAGUAGGAAAAAAUCACAGCACUAAGAGCACUUUGCUCACAAAGUUAGGUGUUGUAUCUGCAGUAGCAGUGCUGUCACUGCCUUUGAACACCUUGCCCUCUCUCAAAGAGCACAUCUCAAAGGCAGUUCUCGAAGUCUCUACACCAACACUGCACAAAACUUGAGAACAUAAAAUCUCCUCACCUUUUCACCCUCUCUUGACUUGGAGAUACGAGGACCAUCAAGCAGUCAUUUCAUUGCUAGCUGUAGGUUUUACACUGCUGCCAAUUUCAUUGAGAGAGCUACUGCAAACACUCUCUCUGGCCAUUUUGGUUAAUAAAAGCUCCAGAGGCCUUCCUCCA